rnacentral:rRNA from 1 species
UACGUAGGGGGGCGAGCGUUGUCCGGAUUUAUUGGGCGUAAAGAGCGUGUAGGCGGUUCGGUAAGUCUGUCGUGAAAUCCUGAGGCUCAACCUCGGGCGUGCGAUGGAUACUGCCGGGCUAGAGGGUGGUAGAGGCGAGUGGAAUUCCCGGUGUAGCGGUGAAAUGCGCAGAUAUCGGGAGGAACACCAGUAGCGAAGGCGGCUCGCUGGGCCACACCUGACGCUGAGACGCGAAAAGCUAGGGGGAGCGAACAGG